rnacentral:lncRNA from 1 species
GGAGCACAAACUAUUUAAAAAAUGUUUUUAUACGGGGAAACUAUUCGGAAACGGACUGCAAAUGCAUCACAGAUAAUUCAUUAGAUUGAUACUCAUGUUCGCAAUGAAAGUUGUCACAUACUAAAUGGAUUCAACUUUAUUUUACAUCAUAGUCUACAACCGUAUGAACAUCAAAAAGUUUUACAUUAUCCUUAUAAAGGUGUAAAAACCUUUGAACAGGAACAACAACCAACAGCUUUAUAAAAACUUAAGAGCUACGAGAAUAGGUAAGGUUUCAAAAUUUUGAUAAAGAAUUAGCAAAGUGAAGCAAACGUGUAAUUAAACACUAAACAUAAGGAGGAUACUCUGCUCCGGUUUCGUAAAUAUCAGUGGGUUUUGGAUCUAAAACAAAAAGGCAAGACCCUCAUCAGACGCCGGUACAGGUAGUACAAAAGCCUUAUCACACAUACACACCACACUGAAAUAGAAAACCUAAAUCUUAGCACAGAAAGAAUUUACAUGACCCUUGACCUUGAGGUUGAUGUGAGCUCCUCCGAGUCUGUAUAAGCAAAUUUGUGUGAGAGAGAACGGAAAAGGAUUCAGGCGAUGGGCAAAGUGAGUGAUGGCUGAGAGAUUGUAAAUAAAUAAAGGAUUGAUGAACCUCCAAAUGGUCGUAGGGUAUCUCAGACGGUUGAUGCCCUUCUUCGACACAAAGUGAUUGCUCCAUCCUGUAACAAAGCAAAAAUUCACAGCCAACAUCAUUCUAAAAACAGCUCUUAAAACAAUUGUUAAUCACCAAUUUUGAUAUUUAGAUCGAUGCCUACUAAUCUCAAACCAAUACCCAGCAUCUCCAUUGAACAACUCUUCUUAGUUUCACAAACACACAAAAUCACAGUGUACAUCUCUAGUUCAAUCUUUAACAAUCUUUAGAUCAAUACAUA